GACGAACGCUGGCGGCGUGCCUAACACAUGCAAGUCGAGCGAGUGAAUUUCCUUCGGGAAGGAAACUAGCGGCGGACGGGUGAGUAACACGUGGGCAACCUGCCUCAUAGAGGGGAAUAGCCUCCCGAAAGGGAGAUUAAUACCGCAUAAGAUUGUAGCUUCGCAUGAAGUAGCAAUUAAAGGAGCAAUCCGCUAUGAGAUGGGCCCGCGGCGCAUUAGCUAGUUGGUGAGGUAACGGCUCACCAAGGCGACGAUGCGUGGCCGACCUGAGAGGGUGAUCGGCCACAUUGGGACUGAGACACGGCCCAGACUCCUACGGGAGGCAGCAGUGGGGAAUAUUGCACAAUGGGGGAAACCCUGAUGCAGCAACGCCGCGUGAGUGAUGACGGCCUUCGGGUUGUAAAGCUCUGUCUUCAGGGACGAUAAUGACGGUACCUGAGGAGGAAGCCACGGCUAACUACGUGCCAGCCGCCGCCGUAACAC
rnacentral:rRNA from 1 species